AUUGAACGCUAGCGGGAUGCCUUACACAUGCAAGUCGAACGGAGUGGCGAACGGGCGAGUAAUGUAUCGGAACGUGCCCAGUAGCGGGGGUUAACUACGCGAAAGCGUAGCUAAUACCGCAUACGAUUGGAGCGGCCGAUAUCGGAUUAGCUAGUUGGUGGGGUAACGGCUCACCCAGGCGACGUUCCGUAGCUGGUUUUAGAGGACGACCAGCCACACUGGGACUGAGACACGGCCCAGACUCCUACGGGAGGCAGCAGUGGGGAAUUUUGGACAAUGGGGGAAACCCUGAUCCAGCCAUCCCGCGUGUGGGAAGAAGGCCUUCGGGGUGUAAAGCACUUUUGGCAGGUAAGCGGUACCGACAGAAUAAGCACCGGCUAACUCCGUGCCAGCAGCCGCGGUAAUAC
rnacentral:rRNA from 1 species